GGAUGUGAGGGCAAUCUGGCUGCGACAUCUGUCACCCCAUUGAUCACCAGGGUUGACUGAUCUGGCUGGCUAGGCGGGUGUCUCCUUCCUCUCUCACUACUCCAUGUGCGUCCCUCCUGAAGCUGUAUCUUUGGUCAAAGAGGACAGCCUUGCCCAAAUAGAGACAGACUGGUCUUCAGUGGAGGGUAUACAAGUAGCUGCGCUCCCCUGCUAGAACCUCCAGACAAGCUAACUUAUUACUACGUGUAUUUAUUUAUUUAUUUUUUUUAUUUUUUUUAAU
rnacentral:snRNA from 1 species